rnacentral:tRNA from 1 species
GUCCAGGGUAGCCUAGUGGCCAUGACAUCUGCCCGGUAAGCGGAAGGUCGUGGGUUCGAUUCCCAUCCCUUGACA